rnacentral:rRNA from 1 species
UACGUAGGUCCCGAGCGUUGUCCGGAUUUAUUGGGCGUAAAGCGAGCGCAGGUGGUUUAUUAAGUCUGGUGUAAAAGGCAGUGGCUCAACCAUUGUAUGCAUUGGAAACUGGUAGACUUGAGUGCAGGAGAGGAGAGUGGAAUUCCAUGUGUAGCGGUGAAAUGCGUAGAUAUAUGGAGGAACACCAGUGGCGAAAGCGGCUCUCUGGCCUGUAACUGACACUGAGGCUCGAAAGCGUGGGGAGCAAACAGG